GACGAACGCUGGCGGCGUGCUUAACACAUGCAAGUCGAACGAUGAAGCCCAGCUUGCUGGGUGGAUUAGUGGCGAACGGGUGAGUAACACGUGAGCAACGUGCCCGAGACUCUGGAAUAACUACCGGAAACGGUGGCUAAUACUGGACAUGUGCCAGGGAGGCAUCUGCUCUGGUUGGAAAGAUUUUUCGGUUUCGGAUCGGCUCACGGCCUAUCAGCUUGUUGGUGGGGUAAUGGCCUACCAAGGCGACGACGGGUAGCCGGCCUGAGAGGGUGACCGGCCACACUGGGACUGAGACACGGCCCAGACUCCUACGGGAGGCAGCAGUGGGGAAUAUUGCACAAUGGGCGCAAGCCUGAUGCAGCAACGCCGCGUGGGGGAUGACGGCCUUCGGGUUGUAAACCUCUUUUAGUAGGGAAGAAGCGCAAGUGACGGUACCUGCAGAAAAAGCACCGGCUAACUACGUG
rnacentral:rRNA from 1 species